GAUGAACGCUGGCGGCGUGCUUAACACAUGCAAGUCGAGCGAGAAAAGUUCUUCGGAGCUUUUCUAGCGGCGGACGGGUGAGUAACACGUGGGCAACCUGCCUCAUAGAGGGGAAUAGCCUUCCGAAAGGAAGAUUAAUACCGCAUAACAUUGUUGAAAGGCAUCUUUUAACAAUCAAAGGAAUAAUCCGCUAUGAGAUGGGCCCGCGGCGCAUUAGCUAGUUGGUGAGGUAACGGCUCACCAAGGCGACGAUGCGUAGCCGACCUGAGAGGGUGAUCGGCCACAUUGGAACUGAGACACGGUCCAGACUCCUACGGGAGGCAGCAGUGGGGAAUAUUGCACAAUGGGGGAAACCCUGGUGCAGCAACGCCGCGUGAGUGAUGAAGGUCUUCGGAUUGUAAAGCCCUGUCUUUAGGGACGAUAAUGACGGUACCUAAGGAGGAAGCCACGGCUAACUACGUGCCAGCAGCCGCAGUAAAAC
rnacentral:rRNA from 1 species